AAGGAUCAUUAAUGAAACUUCAAAGUCGGCUUGGUCCUCUGUGCUGGUGGAGACACAUGUGCACGUCGACAAAGUCGCAAACCCCACACACUUGUGCAUCUAUGACUCUGAGUACCACUUUGCAUGGGCUGUUAAACGCCCUGGCACUCGAGUAACUUUCACACACUCUGAAUGUAAUGGAAUGUCUAUUGUACAAUGUACAACCAAAAACAACUUUCAACAACGGAUCUCUUGGCUCUC
rnacentral:misc_RNA from 1 species